rnacentral:tRNA from 1 species
GGGGUUGUGGCUCAGAGGUAGAGCACUCACCUGGCAUGUGUGAGGCACUGAGUUCGAUCCUCAGCACCA